UACGUAGGUGACCAGCGUUGUCCGGAUUUACUGGGCGGAAAGAGCGCGCAGGCGGUCGUUCAAGUCGAGUGUGAAAGCCCCCGGCUCAACUGGGGAGGGUCAUUCGAUACUGAUCGACUUGAAGGCAGGAGAGGGAAGCGGAAUUCCCGGUGUAGUGGUGAAAUGCGUAGAUAUCGGGAGGAACACCAGUGGCGAAGGCGGCUUCCUGGCCUGUUCUUGACGCUGAGGCGCGAAAGCUAGGGGAGCAAACGGG
rnacentral:rRNA from 1 species